GGGGGUGAACUAGGUUCGACGUUAACUUGUUCUGUCAGAUCAGCAGGUCAUGGUUGACCAGGCCAUGUAAAACAGGGUCAAAAAACAUAAAAGCCAACUCCAACGAGAUGGCCUGGGCGCACGCUUAAGUGUGCCUCGCUCGCAGACUGCCGCCCGCGCGGAAUGUAGAGCGUUACAAUGCGGGAUGCUGCUUUUUGGGGCGCGCUUCGUCCCUGGAAGGCAAAAGACUAUACGGAGCUUGUCCGGUACUUGUCGCCUUGAACUUAGUCCGGACGAGACAAACUCGAGGCUAAGCCUGUAGCGGUUCUGACAAGCGGUUGGCGGACUCGGGUGCGACUCCCGACACCUCCAUAA
rnacentral:tmRNA from 1 species